GGUGGAGCACAACGUCGAAAGCAGCCGUUGGGAGCCCAGGAGGCGGGGCGCCUGUGGGAGCCGUGGAGGGAACUUUCCCAGUCCCCGAGGCGGAUCCGGUGUUGCAUCCUUGGAGCGAGCUGAGAGCUCGAGUACAGAACCUGCUAAGGCCAUCAAACCUAUUGAUCGGAAGUCAGUCCAUCAGAUUUGCUCUGGGCCGGUGGUACCGAGUCUAAGCACUGCGGUGAAGGAGUUAGUAGAAAACAGUCUGGAUGCUGGUGCCACUAAUAUUGAUCUAAAGCUUAAGGACUAUGGAGUGGAUCUCAUUGAAGUUUCAGGCAAUGGAUGUGGGGUAGAAGAAGAAAACUUCGAAGGCUUAACUCUGAAACAUCACACAUCUAAGAUUCAAGAGUUUGCCGACCUACCUCAGUGAUGUCACCAUUUCUACCUGCCAUGUAUCGGCGAAGGUUGGGACUCGACUGGUGUUUGAUCACUAUGGGAAAAUCAUCCAGAAAACCCCCUACCCCCACCCCAGAGGGAUGACAGUCAGUGUGAAGCAGUUAUUUUCUACGCUACCUGUGCACCAUAAAGAAUUUCAAAGGAAUAUUAAGAAGAAACGUGCCUGCUUCCCCUUCGCCUUCUGCCGUGAUUGUCAGUUUCCUGAGGCCUCCCCAGCCAUGCUUCCUGUACAGCCUGCAGAACUGUGAGUCAAUUAAACCUGUUUUCUUCAUAAA
rnacentral:lncRNA from 1 species